GAUGAACGCUGGCGGCGUGCCUAAUACAUGCAAGUCGAGCGAACAGAUAAGGAGCUUGCUCCUUUGGCGUUAGCGGCGGACGGGUGAGUAACACGUGGGUAACCUACCUAUAAGACUGGAAUAACUCCGGGAAACCGGGGCUAAUGCAGGAUAACAUGUUGAACCGCAUGGUUCUACAGUGAAAGGCGGCUUUGCUGUCACUUAUAGAUGGACCCGCGCCGUAUUAGCUAGUUGGUGAGGUAACGGCUCACCAAGGCAACGAUACGUAGCCGACCUGAGAGGGUGAUCGGCCACACUGGAACUGAGACACGGUCCAGACUCCUACGGGAGGCAGCAGUAGGGAAUCUUCCGCAAUGGGCGAAAGCCUGACGGAGCAACGCCGCGUGAGUGAUGAAGGUCUUCGGAUCGUAAAACUCUGUUAUUAGGGAAGAACAAAUGCGUAAGUAACUGUGCGCGUCUUGACGGUACCUAAUCAGAAAGCCACGGCUAACUACGUG
rnacentral:rRNA from 1 species